CCUACGGGAGGCAGCAGUAGGGAAUCUUCCGCAAUGGACGCAAGUCUGACGGAGCAACGCCGCGUGAGUGAAGAAGGUUUUCGGAUCGUAAAACUCUGUUGUUAGAGAAGAACAAGUGCUAGAGUAACUGUUAGCGCCUUGACGGUAUCUAACCAGAAAGCCACGGCUAACUACGUGCAAGCAGCCGCGGUAAUACGUAGGUGGCAAGCGUUGUCCGGAUUUAUUGGGCGUAAAGCGAGCGCAGGCGGUUCCUUAAGUCUGAUGUGAAAGCCCCCGGCUCAACCGGGGAGGGUCAUUGGAAACUGGGGAACUUGAGUGCAGAAGAGGAGAGUGGAAUUCCAUGUGUAGCGGUGAAAUGCGUAGAUAUAUGGAGGAACACCAGUGGCGAAGGCGACUCUCUGGUCUGUAACUGACGCUGAGGCUCGAAAGCGUGGGUAGCAAACAGGAUUAGAUACCCCAGUAGUC
rnacentral:rRNA from 1 species